rnacentral:rRNA from 1 species
GAGCUUGCUCCUUUGACGUUAGCGGCGGACGGGUGAGUAACACGUGGGCAACCUACCUUAUAGUUUGGGAUAACUCCGGGAAACCGGGGCUAAUACCGAAUAAUCUAUUUCACUUCAUGGUGAAAUACUGAAAGACGGUUUCGGCUGUCGCUAUAAGAUGGGCCCGCGGCGCAUUAGCUAGUUGGUGAGGUAACGGCUCACCAAGGCGACGAUGCGUAGCCGACCUGAGAGGGUGAUCGGCCACACUGGGACUGAGACACGGCCCAGACUCCUACGGGAGGCAGCAGUAGGGAAUCUUCCACAAUGGGCGAAAGCCUGAUGGAGCAACGCCGCGUGAGUGAAGAAGGUUUUCGGAUCGUAAAACUCUGUUGUAAGGGAAGAACAAGUACAGUAGUAACUGGCUGUACCUUGACGGUACCUUAUUAGAAAGCCACGGCUAACUACGUGCCAGCAGCCGCGGUAAUACGUAGGUGGCAAGCGUUGUCCGGAAUUAUUGGGCGUAAAGCGCGCGCAGGCGGUCCUUUAAGUCUGAUGUGAAAGCCCACGGCUCAACCGUGGAGGGUCAUUGGAAACUGGGGGACUUGAGUGCAGAAGAGGAAAGUGGAAUUCCAAGUGUAGCGGU